CUGUUGGUUAAUUUGAUAAGGUAGUAAAUAUAUAUUUAUCGAAGAACUGUGUGGAAUUUGUGAUGCAGGUGCCACAAAGGCCACAGCUUGGAUGAACUGAAACUCAAGGAAAGUGACGCUUCCUUUUUGUCACUAGUAGAUAUAUGAUUGGGUUCAAUGGAGAGAAAUCCUCAGCUUGCUGCAAUCUCAGGUGGUGUUUCUGCAUGGUUUGCACUUUGCUUUCUCCAGCACAGUUCAUUCUUCUGUCCCUUUUUGAAGACUCCUUCCACCUUUGUAGAAAGGGAAAUGUGAUGAAUUAUUAAGAUAGAAACAUCUCAUUCCAUUUUGGCACUGCCGCUGACGACAGCUCACCCUCCAACAACAUUACCGACACCAAUGCUCUUCCUGUUUGGCGAUCAAAAUGUGGCUCCAGCUCAACUCCAGAAACUGAUGACUGGGAUUUAUGGAUGAAUGGAAUAUUGAAGCACCCAUGAAUGGUCUGCCAUUCCUCUUUUUGGUGUGUCAAUAUACAUUUUCCACCUUGGAACUGCAAUUAUUACCUAAUUCUUAUUCUUCUUCUUCU